UACGAAGGGGGCUAGCGUUGCUCGGAAUCACUGGGCGUAAAGGGUGCGUAGGCGGGUUUUUAAGUCAGGGGUGAAAUCCUGGAGCUCAACUCCAGAACUGCCUUCGAUACUGGGAAUCUUGAGUCCGGAAGAGGUGAGUGGAACUGCGAGUGUAGAGGUGAAAUUCGUAGAUAUUCGCAAGAACACCAGUGGCGAAGGCGGCUCACUGGUCCGGUACUGACGCUGAGGUGCGAAAGCGUGGGGAGCAAACAGG
rnacentral:rRNA from 1 species